GGCAGCGUCCUCACUCUCUCUCAGCUUCACACACCUGAACGACCUGCCUGAAACACAGCACAAUCAGCAGCAUCACCUGGCAGCGUCCUCACUCUCUCUCAGCUUCACACACCUGAACGACCUGCCUGAAACACAGCACAAUCAGCAGCAACAUGACAUCUCAAGUGGCAGCACUUCUCUUCAUCGCGACAGUGUGCUUGGGCUAUGCAUCAGCAUUCUCUGUGGUACCCGUGGAUUGCUGUCUCCUCACCACUGAGACACGUUUCCCUCGCCACUUUAAGAUGGUCUCCUACCUCCUGCAGACCACAGAGAAAGGCUGUGACAUCGAUGCCACUGUGUUCAUCACUAAGACAGGGGUGAGAUUGUGCACGCCCCAUCCCACAAAGAGCAAGUGGGUGGCAGACUACAUCAAACGUCUGGAGCGAACCAUCUCCCUCCGAAUAGCUGAUACACCUCAGCAGUAAAUGAGGAUGAAAACAGCAGAGUGAGACCAGAAGAGGAAUGAAGGAGAGGAGUGGAGAAGAGGAAUGGAGGAUGUUAUUCGAUGAGGACAACUGAAGACGAUACACAAUUGUCCUGUCUUCGGCCACAUUCAUUUCAACCUUUUUUU